ensembl:lncRNA
CCCAGGCAGGGCUGGAGUAGGGCCGGGCCGCUCCGAGGGAGCAGGGAGGCAGCUGGGCCUGCAGCCAGUCCUCCGCAGACCUGCAGAGGGCCCAUCUGCCUGGACCUGGGCGCCUCCCCCGGAAUCUGCCCACAGCUCUGCUUCUUGCACAGCCGGCGGAUGAGUGGUGCGCGGGCAGGUCCGUGCCUGGGCAGAUGCAGGGCAGGACCGGGGCUGAGAGCUGAGGUCGCCGGACUCACUGCGUGCUUGAGAAACCCCAGGAGUAAAGGCUAAGGCCUCGGAGGCCCCAGUGAAAAGAGGCAGGUCUGUGCACGCCCUACCGAGGUCCUGAGUCAUGCAGAAGAUGUCGAAUCACCCUGCUACAGACAGGCAGGUCUGCCCACACCCUGUCUAGGUCCCCAGUAACGUGGAACACACACCGAAUCAGCCCGCUGCAGACAGGAAGGUCUGUGCAUGCCCUACCGAGGUCCUGAGUCACGCGGAAGACAUUGAAUCAUCCCACUGCAGACAGGCAGCCACCUGAUUCCACAUUACCAAGGUGCAGAGGACACCAGACCACCAGACCAAGCAGAUUCUGCAAACUCCAGCGUCCCUGAGAGAGCGAGGGGAGGUCACCAGAGUGAGGCCUGGGGGCCUGCAGGGCCCCACUGAAGGAGUUGGUGCAGCCAGGCCCAGGGUCCCAGCAGCUGCCCGAGAACUGUUACAUCUACUGCAUGAAGCUGGCCAGUACCGAGUUAUGCCGAGUUACCAGGCUGGAUUCAAACUCUGGUGUCCUCCUGCCCUGGCCUCCUGAGUACCUGGGACCACAGGUGUUUACCACCUGCUACAGUGUAGAUUAAGAAUGACCCCAACUCUCCUGUGGUCACACAUGGGCCUUUCGGAAGAAGCAAGGUGCCAUGUUGUGAACCACCAGAUGGAGACAGUCAUACAGAAAGGAGCCUAGGGUGACCUUCAGCCAACAACCGGGCAAGAAUUCAGUCCCUCAGCUUGGCAGCAUGUAAGGAAUUGAAAGCUGCCAACAGCCUGAGGAAGCUCUUACCUCAAAUGUUCUCACAGUCCCAGUCAAUAUUUCAAUCCAGAAAUGAGCAGAAGAAAAGCAGAUGGAAGAAAAACAGGAGUGAAAGAAGAAGAAAGAAUGAUAUGGUGAAAAAUAGAAAAAAGGUGGCUUUGGAGCUUGCACUCAGGAUCCUGCAGAUGCCAGCAAGGGCUCUACCGCUGAACUUCAUCCACAGCCUCCUCACUCUGCUGGUGGUCUCUCUCCUGGUGGCCUUUCAAAGACACAAGAACACUGCUCUCCUGGAUUCCAAGCCUUUGGAUGGAGACAUACAUCCAGUUUGUCUGUUUUUCAAAGGUGAACUGAAGCUCUUACAACUUACCAGUCUUCCUAGCUAGUUGCAGUAGUCAAUUCCUUAUAAUGAAUUUCUUUCUAAAGACAUACACAUCUUUUGGGUUGUGUUUCUCUAGAGUACUCUGAGUCUUGCAUCAACACAGCUCAUACCAGUACAUUACAUUUACCCAUAACAUUAAUUUUUUCUAGUACUAACUGUUAC